GACGUAGGGCGCAAGCGUUGUCCGGAUUCAUUGGGCGUAAAGGGUGCGUAGGCGGCGCGGUUAGUCGGGUGUGAAAUCUCGGAGCUUAACUCCGAAACUGCAUUCGAUACUGCCGUGCUUGAGGACUGGAGAGGAGACUGGAAUUUACGGUGUAGCGGUGAAAUGCGUAGAUAUCGUAAGGAAGACCAGUGGCGAAGGCGGGUCUCUGGACAGUUCCUGACGCUGAGGCACGAAGGCCAGGGGAGCAAACGGG
rnacentral:rRNA from 1 species